AGAGUUUGAUCCUGGCUCAGGAUGAACGCUGGCGGCAUGCCUAAUACAUGCAAGUCGAACGAGAGGAAGGAAAGCUUGCUUUUCUGAAUCUAGUGGCGAACGGGUGAGUAACACGUAGGUAACCUGCCCAUGUGCCCGGGAUAACUUCUGGAAACGGAUGCUAAAACCGGAUAGGUAGCAGACAAGCAUUUGACUGCUAUUAAAGUGGCUUUGGCCAUGAACAUGGAUGGACCUGCGGUGCAUUAGCUGGUUGGUGAGGUAACGGCCCACCAAGGCGACGAUGCAUAGCCGGCCUGAGAGGGCGGACGGCCACAUUGGGACUGAGACACGGCCCAAACUCCUACGGGAGGCAGCAGUAGGGAAUUUUCGUCAAUGGGGGGAACCCUGAACGAGCAAUGCCGCGUGAGUGAGGAAGGUCUUCGGAUCGUAAAGCUCUGUUGUAAGAGAAAAACGGCACUCAUAGGGAAUGAUGAGUGAGUGAUGGUAUCUUACCAGAAAGUCACGGCUAACUACGUGCCAGCAGCCGCGGUAAUACGUAGGUGGCGAGCGUUAUCCGGAAUGAUUGGGCGUAAAGGGUGCGUAGGUGGCAGAUCAAGUCUGGAGUAAAAGGUAUGGGCUCAACCCGUACUGGCUCUGGAAACUGAUCAGCUAGAGAACGGAAGAGGACGGCGGAACUCCAUGUGUAGCGGUAAAAUGCGUAGAUAUAUGGAAGAACACCGGUGGCGAAGGCGGCCGUCUGGUCUGGAUUCUGACACCGAAGCACGAAAGCGUGGGGAGCAAAUAGGAUUAGAUACCCUAGUAGUCCACGCCGU
rnacentral:rRNA from 1 species